AGCCGUAUGAUGGGAAACUGUCACGUACGGUUCUUAGGGGGGAAGGGUUCCGAAAGGAACCUGACCUACCCGAC
rnacentral:ncRNA from 1 species